GAUCAUGGCUCAGGAUGAACGCUGCGGCGUGCCUAAUACAUGCAAGUCGAGCGAAUGGAUUGAGAGCUUGCUCUCAAGAAGUUAGCGGCGGACGGGUGAGUAACACGUGGGUAACCUGCCCAUAAGACUGGGAUAACCCGGGAACCGGGGCUAAUACCGGAUAAUAUUUUGAACUGCAUGGUUCGAAAUUGAAAGGCGGCUUCGGCUGUCACUUAUGGAUGGACCCGCGUCGCAUUAGCUAGUUGGUGAGGUAACGGCUCACCAAGGCAACGAUGCGUAGCCGACCUGAGAGGGUGAUCGGCCACACUGGGACUGAGACACGGCCCAGACUCCUACGGGAGGCAGCAGUAGGGAAUCUUCCGCAAUGGACGAAAGUCUGACGGAGCAACGCCGCGUGAGUGAUGAAGGCUUUCGGGUCGUAAAACUCUGUUGUUAGGGAAGAACAAGUGCUAGUUGAAUAAGCUGGCACCUUGACGGUACCUAACCAGAAAGCCACGGCUAACUACGUG
rnacentral:rRNA from 1 species